GACAGAGGGUGCAAACGUUGCUCGGAAUCACUGGGCGUAAAGGGCGUGUAGGCGGCGUUUUAAGUCGGGGUGAAAGCCUGUGGCUCAACCACAGAAUGGCCUUCGAUACUGGGACGCUUGAGUAUGGUAGAGGUUGGUGGAACUGCGAGUGUAGAGGUGAAAUUCGUAGAUAUUCGCAAGAACACCGGUGGCGAAGGCGGCCAACUGGACCAUUACUGACGCUGAGGCGCGAAAGCGUGGGGAGCAAACAGG
rnacentral:rRNA from 1 species